UCCUUCCCAUGAUGCAGACGCGGAGGGAAGGGCUGGCUGCGAUUCUGGAAGAGAGCUCUCACCAAAACAUACCCACACUGGUGCCCUGAUCUUGGACUUCCCAACCUCUGAACUACAAACAGGGGCCUGCAGGCCUGGCUCCUCUCUGAAGCACAGUGUCAGCUCCAGCGAGACAAUGUGUCACAGAGACUAAGGUGUGUGCAGUCAGGAGGAUGAUUGGAGAAGGAACCUCCUCCUGGAAAGAAGUAAAAAAAUAUGUCUAUAAUACGACCAGCCACCAAAGCAGGCAUCGAUCUGAGAUGCUGGCCAGAGAGGGUGAAUUCAGGUGUGGGGCCCCACUGGAUAUGACUGAAGACCAGCCACCAGAGGAAAUUUAAGCAGAGGAGAGGAGAGAACCUGAUUUAAGGGCUGGCUCUGUGGCUGCUUUCAGAGAAAUCUCCGCUGUCUCCUAACCUGCUUCGUCCUCAGUUUCCUCAUCAUGGACAUAAUGACAGCUUCUACCUCAGGUGUCCUGAGGCAACACAUCAUGGUAAGUGCAAAAGACUUAAUGGGAUACCUAGAACAGAGGAGAGGCUCAUUACAUGCCUUCUGCUAGAAUGAUUACUAUUAUUGUUAUUAUUUACCCUAAACAAAGAGGAGGGUGGCCGUAUCCGUUUUUGUUUUGUUUUGGCCAUGCCCAUGGCAUGCAGAAGUUCCUGGAUGAGGGAUCAAGCCCAUGCCACAGCAGAGACCCAAGCCAUAGCAAUGACAAUGCCGGAUCCUUAACCCACUGAGCCACCAGGGAACUCCUGUACCCACCUUUUUCCCCUGUGCCCACGUUUAUAGGGCAUUCAUGUAUUUGGUGUGGCAAAUGGAGAUGAAAGAAAUCCUGUUUGUACACACAUGAGAUCCUGACACAAGUUGACCCCAAACUGCCUUCCUCACAUUAAAAAUGAGGAAACUGAGGCAAAAAGAGAUGAAGUAACUUGUUCAGGGUCACAUAGAAAAGCAGAGUUAAAAUUCCAGCCUGGGAAGUCUGUGCUGUCUUUAUAGCUGAAACUUCCAACAGACGUCUUAGAAGCGUCCACACCACCCACAUUUCCUGGAUCAUAGCAUCUCCCUUUUCUGUUUAAUCUGCAAUGUCCUUUCUCCUCUUCUUAAUCAAAUAAGCUACUACUCAGUCUUUGAGUUGCAGCUUCAGUGUUUUCUCACUGGGCCCCUGUGAGGCCUUUGCUGAGGCCACCGGGAAAGUGCGUCUCUCCCACCACUGGGCUCAUAUCUAUCUUUGUCAUCAUAUUGAGUUUUGGCUUUGGUUGAAGCUACUGGCCACUUCUUAAUGUCAGGGCUCUUGCUGUCCAUGGGGGACAUCAGAGGGAGGUCUGUGGAUCAGGCAUGUGGAUAUGUGCGUGUGUGUGCGCGCGCACAUACACUCACACACACGCGCGCACACACGCACACACGGGACGUUCCUAUUGUGGCUCAGUGGAAACAAAUCUGACUAGUAUCCACAUAGACGCGGGUUUGAUCCCUGGCCUUGCUCAUGGGUUAAGGAUCUGGCAUGGCCAUGAGCUGUGGUGUAUGUCGCAGAUGUGGCUCGGAUCUGAUGUUGCUGUGGCUGGGGUGUAGGCCAGAAGCUACAGCUCGGAUUCAACCCUUAGCCUGGGAACCUCCGUAUGCUGUGGGUAAG
rnacentral:lncRNA from 1 species